AAUUGACCUCAAAUCAGGU
rnacentral:rRNA from 1 species